AUGUUUCUAUGCAGCGUCUGGUUCAUUCUUCUCUUUUCAGGUGAUGCAGGUGGAGAAGGAAUAGCCCCUCUCUUCUCAUCUGAACUUGCUAACGAUGGUGACUCCAUUACUUUGACCUGCAAUUACAAUGGGUCGUACAGCAGUGAUUCUGUCCUGUGGUAUCGUCAAUACAGCAGCUCCAAACCUCAGUUUUUGUUUCUGGUUAGUGAAUCCAAACUUGAGCAGCCAGCUGACCCUCCAAUACCUGGAGUGUCUGCUAAAAUAAAUGAGGAGAAAAACCGUGUGGCUCUGAAGAUCUCCUCUGCUUCAGUAUCAGACUCUGCACUGUACUACUGUGCCCUGCAGCCCACAGUGACAGGAAACGCAUCAACACUUUACAAAGGAUUCACUGGAAGAGUGCUGAAUGCGCAGUGGUAUAGACAAUAUCCAAGAUCAAAACCAGACUUCCGUACCUACAGCUAUUCGCACAAAGGUCCAGACUUACCAAUAACCAUAUCAAGAUUUUCUGGCAAAUUUGAUCAAGACCUCCAACAAGUGGAUCUACAGAUCUCCAAAGUUUUUUUGACAGAUUCAGCGGUGUACUACUGUGCACUGCAGCCCACAAUCACAGGAAACUAA